CCCAGAGAGCUUCCUCACCCCUUCCCCAGUGUGAGGACACAGCGAGAAGACAACCAGCUGUCUAUGAACCAGGACGUGGUCUCUCCCCAGACAGGAAUCUGCCAGGGCCUUGAUCUUGGACUGCCCAGCCUCCAAAACUUGGAAUUCAUGAAUACACGAUAUCACCGAUGUGGUAUUAUUAUGCUUUAACAAUUUUAACUGGGAUGUUCAGCAAACCAUUACUGAAGACAGACAACAAAAAAGAAAACUUUUCCACAGAAUUCUCUGACUGUCUAAAUCAUGAUGAUCUAAGAGAACCGAUCUAUAAAUUGAACUGCCAGUGUUAUCCUCAAGAGAAACAAAAGCCCUUUGGGUUGUGAGCUCCUUGAAGGCCUGGGCACGGGCUUUAUCCCCACCCAUUCCCCAGCUCACUCUGCAAGGCUCAUGGAGGAGAUGCCACAUAAUGAAAGGAAACAGCCGUGUACCCUUACUAAUGUGAUGCUGGAAGUGGGAGAGGAGGAAAGACACACCUAGAGUCUAAUACAUUUUUUCAUAUAUAUUUCUUUUAUAUGUA